rnacentral:snRNA from 1 species
CUCUCCAUACAUAGCACAAA